GACGAACGCUGGCGGCGUGCUUAACACAUGCAAGUCGAGCGGUAGGGCCUUUCGGGGUACACGAGCGGCGAACGGGUGAGUAACACGUGGGUGAUCUGCCCUGCACUUCGGGAUAAGCCUGGGAAACUGGGUCUAAUACCGGAUAUGACCUCAGGUUGCAUGACUUGGGGUGGAAAGAUUUAUCGGUGCAGGAUGGGCCCGCGGCCUAUCAGCUUGUUGGUGGGGUAAUGGCCUACCAAGGCGACGACGGGUAGCCGACCUGAGAGGGUGACCGGCCACACUGGGACUGAGACACGGCCCAGACUCCUACGGGAGGCAG
rnacentral:rRNA from 1 species